AAUAAAAUAAAAUAAAAUAAAAUAAUUUGGGUAGACUGCAAAGAGCCAGGGCAUCCAUCAGGGAUGCUCCAAAGGAGGAGAUGUGGGGGGCACAGUGCCCCCCUGGCAUCCCGGUGAUCCAGCUCCAUGCUCACCCCUGUCCAUGUGUUUCCCAUGGCAGCAGGGUUUGGGCACAGGUUUGCAGGAACUGUGGUGAAAUCUGGGAAUGGGUCACGAAGGUGAAGGUUUUGCUCCAAACCUGAUCCAGGGCAGCGUGGGUCAGGUGGGAUAAGGCUGCAGGUCAGGGGAGCAGGGCUGGGUUUGCUCUGUGCCCGUGCAAAGUGCAGCAACAUCAGGAAUGAAUGAGAGAAUGGGAGAACUGCAGAUCCUCCAACGCAUUUCCUGAAGCAAACCUCACACCCUGAGCCAGGAUUGCAGCAGGGAAAAGCCAGCCCAGGCCAGCCAUGCCCGGGGACAGAGCAGCCCAGGGAGCCCACGGAGCUUGGCCGUGGCCCCAUGUGUCCAUCAGCCGCCUAUCAAUGAUUUACAGCUGCUCUGAAGAGCUGUUUGUGCUCCGGGGCUUCCCGGCGGCCCCGGCCAAGUGAUCAGAAAGAUGCUGCCUUGAAGAAAAGAAGGCUUUGGGCUGUCAGAACAGGAUUUCAGGGUUCUGUCCAGCCCUGUGGUGUUCUGGAGAGCCUGGAGGUCCCCAGGCCAACACCAACCGCUUGGCUCAUCACCCCCAAACCAAAAAUCCCCUCCAAAUAAAACUAAAAAAGUCACA